GUGCUCACUUCCGCAGCAUAAACACUAAAAUUGGAACAAUAUAGAGAAAAUUAGCAUGGCUCCUGCCCAAAAAUAACAUACAAAUUCAUGAAGCUUUCCAUUAGUUU
ensembl:snRNA U6 U6 spliceosomal RNA